rnacentral:rRNA from 1 species
GGGGAAUAUUGGACAAUGGGGGGAACUCUGAUCCAGCCAUGCCGCGUGUGUGAAGAAGGCCUUAUGGUUGUAAAGCACUUUAAGCGAGGAGGAGGCUCCCGUAGCUAAUAUCUACGGAGAGUGGACGUUACUCGCAGAAUAAGCACCGGCUAACUCUGUGCCAGCAGCCGCGGUAAUACAGAGGGUGCGAGCGUUAAUCGGAUUUACUGGGCGUAAAGCGUACGUAGGCGGCUUUUUAAGUCGGAUGUGAAAUCCCUGAGCUUAACUUAGGAAUUGCAUUCGAUACUGGGAAGCUAGAGUAUGGGAGAGGAUGGUAGAAUUCCAGGUGUAGCGGUGAAAUGCGUAGAGAUCUGGAGGAAUACCGAUGGCGAAGGCAGCCAUCUGGCCUAAUACUGACGUUGAGGUACGAAAGCAUGGGGAGCAAAC